GAGAAUAUUGAAGUUCUUUUAUCUUAGUCCAUUUCCAUUAUCCAAUAGAGUGCUAUCAACUAUAGUCUCCAUGUUAUAGACUAGGUUCUCAGAAUUUAUUGAUCUUAUAAAUUAAAGUUUGUACUCUUUUACCAGCCAGUCUCUUUCUGUUUCCCCCAAUGCCCCACUCACUAUUUCUAUAAGUUUCCCUUUUUGUAAAUAGGAUUUCACACAUAAAUGAUACCGUGUGGUAUUUUUUUUCUAGGUUAUUUUAUUUAGCACAGUGCUCUCCAGGUUCAUCCAUGUUGUCCCAAAUAAAAAAUUUCCCUCUUUCUUAAGCCUGAAUAAGGUUACAUUCCACAUGUUUCUUUAUCCAUUCAGCCACUGAUGGACACUGAGGUUGUUUCCAUAUCUUGGCUAUUGUGAGUAAUGUUGUUAUGAACAGGAAGGUAGAUAUCUCUUCAAGAUGAUUUCAUUUCCUUUGGAUAGAUACCUAUAAGUCAAAUUAUUGUAGUUCUAUUUUUAAUUUCUUGAGGAACCACCAUACUGUUUUCUAUAGUGGCCGUUCAGUUUACAUUCCCACCAGCACUACACAAGGGUUCCCUUUCUCCACAUCCUCAUCACACUAGUUAUCUCUUACUUUUUUUUUUUUUUAAUUGGUGGCCCCAUGGCACACGGAGUUCCUGCAGUUCUGGAUCCUUUAACCCAUUGUGCUAGACCAGGGAUUGAACCUACAACUUGGUGCUGUAGAGACACCGUUGAUCUUGUUGCACCACAGCAGAAACUCCUCUCUCACCUUUUUGACAAAAGACAUCCUAAUUGUGUGAGGUGAUAUCCCAUUAUAGUUUUUAUUUGCAUUUCCCUGGGGAAUAGAGAUGCUGAGCUCAUUUACAUACACUUGCUGGCUAUUUCUAUCUUCUUUUGGAAAAAUGUCUAUUUAGGUCCUCUGCCAAUUUUUAAUUGGGUUAUUUCUUUCUUUGGGUAUUGAGUUGUGUAAAGUUCAUGUAUAUCUUGGAUAUUAAUCUCUUAUUGGAUAUGUGUGUCAAUGAGUUUGCCUCCCGUGUUUUCUUCUAGGAGUUUUAUGACUUCAGGUCUUAUGUUCAAUUUUUAAAUCUAUUUUGAGGUUUUCUUUGGUGAGUGGCGUUUCAUUCUUUUGCAUGUGACUGUCCAGUUUUUUCCAAACCAUCUAUUGAUAUGAACAUCCUUUCCCUAUUAUAUUUUGCUCCUUUGUCUUAAGCUAAUUAACACAUGUAUGAGUUUAUUUCCAUGCUCUCUGUUUUGUUCAGUUGAUCUAUGUGUCUGUUUUUAUGCCAAUAUCAUACUCUUUUGAUUACUAUAGAGAAAGAGAGAGAAUUUAGUUAAAGAUUUGAAAAACACCUCUAGGCAUGCAUUAUAUUUUUUUCUUAGAUCUUUGUAACAAUGAAAAUUAAAUUAUUAAAAGAAGCAUCCAGUGUAUGGUCUUUUUCCAGAAUUUCAGUGGAAACAGCUGGCAGGAGCCACUAACAGAGUAGAAGGGUGGUGCUAUUGACCAUAAAAUGGAGUUUAGAGAUUCGAUUUUAUGGCAGAUUCUGUGUUCUAAGGGUGCAGUGCCAGUAAAGUAUUUCAGCCGAAUGUGUCCAGUAGGCAACUAGAGACAAGAAACAGGAGCUCUGUGAUUAAUGAGGAUUUGCCUUGAUUGAAGAUGGGACUGGAAAUGUAAAUUUAGGAGUCAUUAGCAUAUAAGUGAUGAUGAAAGUUAUGAGAAUGGAUAGGUUCUCCCAGGGUUGGUAUUAAAGGAACUGAAGGCAGAGAGAGGACUGCAGCUUCUAGAAAGCUCAUUCUAAGGGCGAGCGAGGGGAAGAGGAGAAUCAGUCAUGGAAACAAAAACAAAAGGAGUUUCAUGGCUGAAAGUCAGAGAAAGCCAGUGAAAGACAUGGCCAAGGUCAAGCAGGAGGACCAGCUCUGUCCUUGCAGCUGAGCCAUGGAAAAGAGUAGACAUGGACAGGACAUGAUUGAUCAAAUAGCUAAAAAAACAGUUGGAGAACUUUAGGAGAGUAAUAAGGAAUUAUCAUGAAAGAUUCUUUUGUGUAUGUUUUUCUUUUUUUGUUUCUGCUUAUAUUAUAUAUACACUUCAGUGGAAUUAGGUGUUUUAUAGGGGAAGGGGGUCAGGUUCAUAUCCAGGGCUUCCACUUGCUGGCUCUGAAGUUCUUAAUGAUCAUUAGUAGGAUAAUGAUAUUAAUACAUGCUUCAUAUAAUUGCCUUGAAAAUUAAAUAAAAUAAUUUACACAAAGCAUUAGAUUGUGCUUGCCAUAUAUGUAAAUAUCUAUAUUGUUUAUAUGGAUAUACAUUUGUAUACAGACAUAUAGCAACAAAAUACAAAUUGCCAUUUUUAACUAAGGCUGGUUGAAAUAAGUGAGUUUUUGAAAUAAUUAGGAGAGUGGGGUGUUAUCAGGUCUUAUCAGGGUGUUAUCAGAGACUUUGAAGAAGUAACUGGGCCAGAAACCUUAUACUUUCCCUUAAAAAAAAAAACCCCUAAUUUAAAAUUCAUAGACAAUUUAAUUUAAGGCUUAAGGAAAUGCUAAGAUAAGUGUUCUUGAGUGUGAUUUAUUAGAAAGUGCAUAUUCUUUUCUUUUUAUAGUA
rnacentral:lncRNA from 9 species